rnacentral:lncRNA from 1 species
AAAAUAUCACUGUAUUUAUUUUCAUACACAUAAUGUUUCUACAGUGUCAACAUCUUCCUCUCAAAAGCAGAACAGAAGAAUCCCAAAGCUUAGAACUGGAUCACUUGACCCUUUUUCUUCUUAUAACCUCCCAGUUCAAAAUGCUUACAUCUCUUAACGGCCGGCAUCCUCUUGGGCCCGAAGCCUGUCAGCUAAAGUCUUAGUCAAGGCAUUUUCUGCUGAAAUCCAAGAUUCUGGAAAAGAAGAAGAAUAUGAUGAAAAAGCUCAACAAAUCUUAAUUGUUGCCUGGAGGUCAGGCCACGUGGAGAAUGUGGUAUUUAGCUUUGCCACAGACAAGCUCCCCCAAGGCUGCUGAGUGGCUGGAGACCGGUGGAGGUGUAAGAGGGUGGUGAGCAAACAGACAGCACUUUGCAUUUCCAAAGGGCUUUUCACAUGGUCUCCUUGGAACCUCACCUUGCGAGAAGACCCUAUUCCUUAUAUGUUACUGGUGAGACUGUUAAACUACAGAGAAGUUAAGGUACUUGUCCAAAGUGUCAAGUUAAGGAAAAGACAGGGCCAGAACUGGAAACUAUGUUUUCUCCACCCAAAUGCAGUGACUUUUAAUGGAGUUCAGUGGUAAAUGUGGUGACACCAACACUCGGUAGCAGAAGACUCAGUAGUACUAAAUUGGUGUGAUGGAAAAGUCUCAGACUCGGGAUGUCAAGCCGUGGGCUGAAAGCCAGCAGACUCCAAGGGGCUGUGCAGAAGACAGACAUGGUAAGCUAAUCACGGUACAUCGGAGGAUGUUUGUAUUUUGUAAGGCUUGAACCCACGGUGCAAUCGAAAGACAAAAUUCAUAUUGCUUGUGAUGGUUUGUAGUGCUUAGCAAAAUUCUCUGCUUUUCUUCCAUGUGGUUGAUAUUCCAUCCCCCCUAAAUACUUACACCCUCCACGCCAAACCCCAGUUCUUUACAAACUCAAAGCAAUGAAUCACUUAGGAAAACAUUUCGGAUAAACAUAGUCAGAUCUCUGUUUGGACUUCAUGCCGGAGAAAGUGAGCAGACCUUGACUGUUUCAUAUCGCUGCCCUCGAUGCCAAUAAGUCGACCGUUCGCAAUACUGCUUCUGGGCCCUCGUGUGGUUGCAACAGAGGAUAUAUGAAAAGAUUGAACAAAUAUCAUUGUUCUAUCCUCAGUCCUGUCCUCAAAGCUUUUGCAAACUUAAGCAAACUAUUUUUCAUGAUAUCCUCCACAAACUGUGGAAGUCUACUGAAACCGUUCCUGGUACUGAUACUUUGAGUUUGGAAGUUAAAAGGUAAAAGUCUGCAUUCCUUAAAAGUUUUGGUAAUGUAACUAAAAUAAAACAUAAGCCAAAAUGAAACCA